rnacentral:misc_RNA from 1 species
AAAAAAAAAAAAAAAAAAACUGAUUUUGUAAAGAAAGAAGGUUGUACAAUUUUUUUAUUAGACAGAGGACCUAAAGCCCAAAAUAGAAGUAGAGAAGGAAAACAGAUCCUAUUUGUGAGGGAAAAUGAGGAAAAAUGCCACCAAGUCAUGCGGGCUGACCUUGACUGCCGAGAAAGUAGAAGCUUAACUACUACUUACCCGUGUAAAGCCCUACAAAUCAGUUCUGUUUUCCAACUUCCCUUUGAAUUCCAGCCUAUAAAGGGUUUCCAACUCUCACUCAAAAACCUU